rnacentral:lncRNA from 1 species
UUCAUGUUAAUAACUGACUACCGAGACAUGCUAUUUGGCUCUAUGUGUCUGUUUCCCACAGAAAGGAUGUCGGGCCUGGUGUUGAUGGGCAAGCUCUCCAGAACAUGGGUACCACACGUGCAGCACGGGCUUGGGCCUCAGUCAGGCACGCUGGAGCACUCAUUGCCGCUCUGGUGCCACCCACAGGACGAGCUCACACAUGCUCACUCUGGUGCAACUGAAGGACUAUGGCUAUGGUAGCUGCCCAGGAAGACUGGCCAUCCGAUUCAUGCUUGUGCAGUCCUUGGACUUUUAGAUCUACCAGGUACCCACACCUCACAAAGGUCUUUUUCUAGGGAAGUGAUAAACUUUCACAGAAGUUUUGUUUUGAAUCUGAAGGGACCAUAUGAAUUACCUAUUCUUAUUUAUGGCACACAAAUGAGAAAAAUGAGACCAAAAGAGGUUUAGUGUUUGUCUAGAGACAAGUAUCUAGUUAUUCAAAAGACCAUGAAUCAGAAUGCAGCCUUGCCUCGCAG